CUUGUGUGUUUUUUGGGGGGUGGGUAGCAGAUCUGCUUACAUCUCGAUUCCCUAUUAUCUAUUUUCUCUUUGCAGAUCCGUCUCCGCACUUCUAACCCCAUCCAGUCCACUUCCUGCACUUUACUGAAGGCAGAGUUGAAAUAAUUGAAUAUUAGGGACUCUGACACAGAGAGCACCUCCCUCCUUUGUUGCAUCUGAUGAAGUACACGUUUCAUCUUCAAAAUAAAAAUUUAUUCAAUCUGUAACAAGAACAUUGAAUCUGCACAUUUGCGCACAAGUUCACAUUUAAAAACAGUGGAGCACAUCAGUCAUAAAAAAAUCUAUGAUACAAGUGGAACAUCCCAACUACCAGGAAGAUUAAGGAAGGA